rnacentral:tRNA from 1 species
AAAAAGUUAGGUUAAAAAACCCUUAGCCUUCAAAGCUUAAAAUAUAAAUAAAAUUUUAUACUUUUUA